rfam:Citrus sinensis cultivar Ridge Pineapple sweet orange scaffold00084_contig_6, whole genome shotgun sequence.
AUACCAUGAUGAUGACAUCUCCUGUGUAACUUCUUGAAUCUUUCCCAUGCAUCAUACAAACUUUUACCUUCAAGUUGAUAGAAAGAUGUGAUCUCAUUCCUUAAUUU